UAUUUAGAAACCAAUACAAUUUCUUCCAAACUUUAAAAAUCCUUGUUGGAAAGCUCACGAUGGACUGCUGAAUGACGGGAAUGUGCACUGCUUGCCUUAUGCGUAUCUUAUUGGCGUAAGGAAGAGUGCUACUUCAGAUUUGUUCAGCAGAAUUUCCAGACAUCCAGGUAUAUGUCUGCCUUCAUUUACAAAAGAGUGCCAGUGGAUAUCAAAUCAACGAUUUGGUGCGCCGAAUUAUGUGCGUAAAAUGAGAGUUAUUGAACAGAAUAUUGUCAAAAAGGGAAUUGAACCUACAAAUGUAGACUUUUAUGUAUCAAUGUUCGACCCUGCGGCAGCCUGUAUAUCAAAGGACAAUUCAUCAUUGCAUAGGAAAAUAACAGGUAUAACAUAUAAUACGAUGAUGAACGUAGUAUCAUGUUUAUGAGUAUAAAACGAAACUACAUAUAAACCAAUCCCAGCUAUUACACAGAAGGUUAGUGGUACCUGUCCGCCAUUGGACAAAUAAACAUUAGAUUGAUGGAUAAUAAUUAAACUAACUUAAACCUUAAUAAAACAGAGAUAUCACCCUUAAUUAUACAAAGUUCAACAUUUAGUACAUUUUA